rnacentral:lncRNA from 1 species
GUCCUGCGCAUCUCCUACGGCCUCCAGGACAGAGGAACCGGGGGAGGCAGGGGGAAAAGGCCGGCCCAGCAAUUCCCCUACCCCCCGGUCCCACGUGUACCCUCCUGGCCUGGGUCGCCCCAGCCCACGGGGAGCGGGCGGAGUCCUGGCCCACGAAGCCUUGUCACCUGGCGGGCGAAUCCGCAAGCGGAGACUUGUCUUUAAAGGGCUUUGGGCCGGGCGCGGUGGCUCAUGCCUGGAAUCCCAGCACUUUGGGAGGCCGAGGCGGUGGAUCACGAGGUCAGGAGUUCAAGACCAGCCUGGCCAAGAAGGCAGUGUAUGAGAGUUCCACUUGUUCUACACCCUCUCCAAUUCUUGAGGUUGUCAAUGUGGUUAGCCAUUCUGACCCAGGAACGAAAGCGCAGGGAGCAGAGGCUGGACCGUCCUCUGUCAGUUCCCUCGUUCCCCUGGAGUGGAGCUCUGAGCCCUGGGACCACAGAGUUGGCUGUUACACUGGAAACACUGAUCAGACCUUUGGACUCAGCUGAGAUAUUCACUGAGUGCAUAGUGUGUGCGCCAGGCCCUGUUCUGGGAGAUGACAGGCAAGGCCACUGACUUCGUGGAGCUCGCCCCCUAACGGUGAAGACAAACAGUGACUGACUAAGGAAAAAAAAAAAAGAACCCUGACGCUUGGCAUGGUCCAUGGCCCCCUCCACACAGCCAGUUGGCCAGGGAGCCGAGGCAGCCUGUAAACGCUCUGCCUGGAGCUGCUCGUAAACAAAAACAGAGUGAUCCACAAAAGGGCCCCAGAGUCUGGCACUGAAUGGAAUCCUACCUUCGGUCCAGCAACUGGAGAACGAAAGUCCACAUCCUGAUGACUGGUUCUGCACCUGGGGCUUAGAGCACAUAGCAAGGGGCUGAGAAGCAGCCACCACAUAAUCAGUGACUGCAAUUUCAUCACACAGUCCUCCAUGCCAGGCCCUGUGGGGAAACCAAGAUAUGUAAGGCAAGCCCUGCUCUUCGGAAUUUCUAAUCUCAGUACUGAAAAGUUAAUAACAUAAGGACGCAGCCUAUCUGUGGUAACACCAUGGCAUGAGCUGUGUGGAUUCCAAGUGCUGAAUGAAGCUGGAAGGGCAGAGGUCACAUCGGGCCAGUAUGUGCUUCUUGGAAGAGGUGGCAUUUGAGUCACUUGAAGAAUGAGCAGGAGAUGAGGGAUGGGAAGGAGAAGGCAUUCCUGGGAUGCCAUGAGCAAAGUGUCACAGUUUUGCAUUGAUCACUGUCAUCCAUGUAAGAGCAAGGACAGCUCAGGCAGGUGGUGGCCAUAGAAUGGAGGUGGACACAUAAAUAUGUGGAGAAAGAAGGAAGUCUUUGGGUUAAAAGGCCAAGACUUGACACCUGUGAGGACCUGGAAUCUAACCCUGUGUUUGUCUGUAAACCCAAGGCAAGUCACCCUUCUUCCGAGGCACAGUUUCUUCACCUGUAAAAUGAAGGGACUGGGCAAGACGGUUUCUAAAGUUCCUAGGGCCAGGUGCAGUGGCUCACGCCUAUCUUCACAAUACUUUGGGAGGCUGAUGCAGAAGGAUCACUGGAGCUCCCUCAAGACCAGCCUGGGGAACACAGGAAGAACCUUGUCUCUACAAAAAAUUAAAAAUAUUAGCUGGACAUGGUGGCAGGACCUGUGGUUCCAGCUACUCAGGAGGCUGAGUGGGGAGGAUAUUUUGAACCUGGGAGGUCGAGGCUGCAGUGAGCUGUGAUCACACCACUGCACUUCAGCCUGGGCAAUAAAUAAAUAAACAAGUAA